rnacentral:lncRNA from 1 species
AUGUAAAGAUAAAUUUUAAGAGAAUGAUAGUAAAUUAUUCAUUUCUCUUAUACUAACCAUCAAUUUUUUAAUCAAGUAUGUGUUUGGUAUGGUUGAUUGAAUGCAGUAACAUUAUUCAAAUUGUAGGUAAUAUUUAAAAAUAGAAACCGACCGUCCUUAAGACAAGUGACAAAGAGUUUGAUGGUUGGUACCCGAGGUCCCAAGUUCGAAUCCUACUUGAUUCACAUUUCCAGCUAAGUUUAUUUAUAAAUGAAAUAAAUGAAGCGAAUAGCGUGCUACCUAUUUUUAAAAAUAUAUAUAUUUAAAAAUAGAAUAAAUUAGUGAAAUUAAUUACUUAUACGGGUCAAA